CCUACGGGCGGCAGCAGUGGGGAAUAUUGGACAAUGGGGGCAACCCUGAUCCAGCCAUGCCGCGGGUGUGAAGAAGGCCCUCGGGUUGUAAAGCACUUUCAGUGAGGAAGAACGCCUGGUGGUUAAUACCCAUCAGGAAAGACAUCACUCACAGAAGAAGCACCGGCUAACUCCGUGCCAGCAGCCGCGGUAAUACGGAGGGUGCGAGCGUUAAUCGGAAUUACUGGGCGUAAAGCGCGCGUAGGUGGCUUGAUAAGCCGGUUGUGAAAGCCCCGGGCUCAACCUGGGAACGGCAUCCGGAACUGUCAAGCUAGAGUGCAGGAGAGGAAGGUAGAAUUCCCGGUGUAGCGGUGAAAUGCGUAGAGAUCGGGAGGAAUACCAGUGGCGAAGGCGGCCUUCUGGACUGACACUGACACUGAGGUGCGAAAGCGUGGGUAGCAAACAGGAUUAGAUACCCGUGUAGUC
rnacentral:rRNA from 1 species